UGUUAAUAGUCAGGCAUCUGUACUGGCCAGCCCUUAGGAUCCUGGCAGGAUGUGCCUCCCUCCCCCUCUACCUCUCUCUUCUCUUCUGGCACCAGUCCCCAGAGGCCAGAGUCCCCCUCCCCCACCCCACUUUACCAUUCCCUUUCCCCCAAUAAAAACGCCUCCACGUGAGCUCUGUUGCAGGGCAUGACUCUCUCUCCCGCCGUUUUUAAAUUGUAACAGGAGGUGAUAAGAGGAAGAGGAGACAGCUAAGAAGAUGGAGACGAAAACACGGAGAGCACGGAGUCGACAUUCCCAAGAGGCGAGUGCUGCCAGCGUCAAAUGCUACAAAGAACGGGGAGCUGGAGAGUGUGUGCGGGACCUAGUGAUUGGCUUCCAACUCUCUACACUGCCAAGAAAGAAGAUAAACUUCUAAUCCUCCUGUGUGAGCCACUGCACCAAGUUUAUGCCAUGCAGGGGGUGGAUCCCAGGGCGUGAAUCCCAGGGUACCAUACAUGUUUACAAGCACUGAGCUACAUCUCCAGUUACUCUUUUACAAAAAAAAUUAUUUUACUCUGUGUGUGUGCGCUCCCAUGAGGAGGUCAAAGGAACACCUGUGAAAAGGGGUUUCUCCUUCUACGAAGUGGGUCCCAGCUAUCCGGUGCUGAAACUCAGGUCACUGGCUUCACAGCAGGGGUGUUUCUCGGAGCCAUCUCUUCAGUUCCCUCUAGCCAGCUUUUUGGUUUUAAAUAAACAGCUCAGCAGGUGGUAAGGAGGCCCCUCUUCACCGUGAGCACCCUGUCGCACAGGAAGGAGUGCCUGGAGGCUUGAAUGACCCCUUUGAUAGCGCUCCCUCCCCUGACAGCAACCUCUCUAAUGAAGAGAAGGCAGCCAGGAUUUCCAGGGAGCAGGGGCGGGGGAAUUCAGCGUCUGCUCCUGCCAUUUCUCCCGCCUCCCCCCCCCACUGCGUCCUGGGAAGACAGGUGACACCAACAGGCCUGAGGACCUGGAAAAGGAUGAACCUGGCACCAAGUCGCAAGGUUGCAGAAGAGAGCUUAGCUGAAAGAGAAGCCAGAGGAAGGAGAAUACAUAGGACAGGGCUAGGUCAGGGGCAAGUUCAGAGUUAGGAGGCUAGACUGGGAGGAGGAAUUGAAGUUAAUGCUGAGGUGGAGGCCUCAGGGAGUCGCUGGCAGAGCGGAGAGGUGGGGAGUGGAGGGUCGGUGGACCUCAGACGGGAAGGACGGGGACCGGCUUCCCGGCAGCGAUGCUCACCGGCAGGGGACCAGGUUACAGCAUUUCACCCACUUCAUCCUCGCCCCGCCCCCGUAGGCGUCCCGACAUGCGGGUUCUAGCAGACGUGGGCUACUUUACGGCAAAUCUUGUGCCUAGACCCUGUGGAGUGGGCAGAAGAGGUAGGGUCUAGAGGAACUCUUUCAAGCACUCGGAGCCGGUGCCAGCAGCCCAGACACCGUUCCCGCCCCGCCUCGCCCCGCCCCGCCCCGCCGGUGUUCCAGGCCACAGUCAGUGCAGCCCACAGCGGUUUCUGCUCCGCUGCAGCCUAUCUCCGGGCGUCUGUCCCCUUGUGCCCCACCAACUAAGAACGACUUCCCAGAGGACUUUCUCUCCCGGUCCAAGCUUUAGCCCUCUGCUUCCUGUGGGCCAAUGUACACCGUAGGUAAACAACUGGACCUGAGGAAGUUACUGCGCCUCUCUGCGCCCAGGGUUCUUCAAGCAUUGGGAAUGAAUGAGAGAAGGCCCUGCACACAGCACGCAGAGGGGACAGCUGAAGCUCAAGCAGCCAUGCUGGACCGAAAGGGAAAAGCUACUUGCUAAAGAUGACAGACAAUGGACAGAAAGACCUGCAGAGCUCCAUUGCGUUCUGGGAUCUCCUACCUCCAGGCUUCUGUGUCAGCAGAGAGAGAUAAACUGCUAUCUUGUUUAAGCCACAAA